UACGUAGGGGGCAAGCGUUGUCCGGAAUUAUUGGGCGUAAAGCGCGCGCAGGCGGUUAUUAAGUCUGGUGUUAAACCUUGGGCUCAACCUGAGGUCGCACUGGAAACUGGGUGACUUGAGUACAGAAGAGGAAAGUGGAAUUCUACGUGUAGCGGUGAAAUGCGUAGAUAUGUGGAGGAACACCAGUGGCGAAGGCGACUUCUGGGCUGUAACUGACGCUGAGGCGCGAAAGCGUGGGAGCAAACGGG
rnacentral:rRNA from 1 species